rnacentral:lncRNA from 1 species
GCUGGUUCUUCCAGGAGCGCGCAUGAGCGGACGCUGCCUACUGGUGGCCGGGCGGGAUGUAACCGGCUGCUGAGCUGGCAGUUCUGUGUCGCUAGGCUUCUGCCCGGCCGCCGCCGCACAUAAGCCACGAGGAGGAGCUUUACGACUUCCCGGUCUUCGGCGCCGGGCGCAGCAAGGGCCAGACUCUGCGCUAGCAGGCGCUGCGCGCCAACCGGCCGGCACCUGUCGCAGAAGGUGCAACCGAUCGCACUGUCGCGCAGAAGCUCCUCAAUGGCCAGCGCCAGCUGCAGCCCCGGCCGCCCACUCGCCUCAUCUGAGCCUGGGCAAAUCUGGAUUGGGAAAGUUGACAUUAAUCAACUCAUUAUUCCUCACAGAUUUGUAUUCUCCAGAGUAUCCAGGUCCUUCUCAGAGAAUUAAAAAGCCUGUACAGGUCUAGAUAUUGGUAUUUUUAAUUGAUGAUAAGCUGGAAUAAUAUUAAUACACACAAAGCACGUGUUGUAACUUUCAUUAUGCUUCCUUAGAGCUCUGUUCACGGAAAGGGCCUGGGAGCUGCAACACCUCAACAGCAACAAGCACACCUGCUACCUAGAACUUGGUUUCUAAAAACCAUCCUCCUCUAAAAGGAAACAGAGCUCUUUGAAGAAACGCAGAAGGUAAGCAUGAGCAAAUUACUUUUUAGAGGUAACUUUGCUGAACUUGUGAAGAAUGGUGUGCAAGGUCCAGAGCGACUGCAGGAGAGGGAAGGUGGGAUUCCCACAGAGCAGGAGCACAGAUAAGCCAAGCAAGGCCCUGCUUGGAAGGCAGCAAUCAACAGAGAUGCACAGACCUGUGAGGGUGCCGGGACAGCCAUGCAACAAUGCAGCCCUUUUGCUUCCUGAGCUCACCAGUUCCCUCGCUCCACCUCUGAGAGGUGGUUUGGAGAAACACAGCCCUUCUCAAGAGGGCUGCAAGAGCAGACCACAAAGAGCAUGUCUGGACCUAGAACCACAGCAUGUAACCUCGGAAGCAGUGAGACACCAGCCAGCAUGGACAAGCAGCAGGCACUUGCUCUAUACCAGAUAGGUCCCACCUCCAGCCUUCCCCUGCUGCCAUCUAACAUCCUAAACUCCAGCUCUGAAUGUCUGUCUCCU